UGCAAGUCGAACGGGAUUAUUUUUGUAGCAAUACAGAAAUAAUUCAGUGGCGAACGGGUGCGUAACACGUGGGCAAUCUGCCGAAAAGUGGGGGAUAGCUCGCCGAAAGGCGAAUUAAUACCGCAUGUGGUGAGGGACGACAUCUUCCUGAAUCCAAAGCCGGGGCAACCUGGCGCUUUUUGAGGAGCCCGCGGCCUAUCAGCUAGUUGGCGGGGUAACGGCCCACCAAGGCUAUGACGGGUAGCUGGUCUGAGAGGACGACCAGUCACACUGGAACUGAGACACGGUCCAGACACCUACGGGUGGCAGCAGUCGAGAAUUUUUCUCAAUGGGGGAAACCCUGAAGGAGCGACGCCGCGUGGAGGAUGAAGGCUUUCGGGUUGUAAACUCCUGUCAUUUGAGAACAAGUUGUACGUGUUUACUGCACGUGCAUUGACAGUAUCAGAAGAGGAAGGGACGGCUAACUCUGUGCCAGCAGCCGCGGUAAUACAGAGGUCCCAAGCGUUGUUCGGAUUCAUUGGGCGUAAAGGGUGCGUAGGUGGCGCCGUAAGUCGGGUGUGAAAUUUCGGAGCUUAACUCCGAAACUGCAUUCGAUACUGCGGUGCUUGAGGACUGGAGAGGAGACUGGAAUUCAUGGUGUAGCAGUGAAAUGCGUAGAGAUCAUGAGGAAGACCAGUGGCGAAGGCGGGUCUCUGGACAGUUCCUGACACUGAGGCACGAAGGCCAGGGGAGCAAACGGGAUUAGAUACCCCGGUAGUCCUGGCAGUAAACGGUGCACGUUUGGUGUGGGGGGAUUCGACCCCUUCCGCGCCGGAGCUAACGCGUUAAACGUGCCGCCUGGGGAGUACGGCGCAAGAUUAAACUCAAGAAAUUGACGGGGGCCCGCACAAGCGGUGGAGUAUGUGGCUUAUUCGAUGCACGCGAAGAACCUUACAGGCCUUG
rnacentral:rRNA from 1 species